AGACUAGAACGCAGCUCUUCUCUGGUCUCCAUCCUGCCAGGCUACCCUCCAGAGUUUAGACUUGCCAUCUUCCACAAUCGAAAAUAUUUGCAAUACCUGCCACGUCCAAGGUUCAGCUGAGGCCAAUGUAAAGCCAGUAUUAUAGGACACUUCUCAGACUGAGAGCCCAAUGUCGUUGGAAACCACUGGGCCACAGGAAAGGCAGGCUCUCUCAGUCCUGCUCCUGCCAUGGAAGAAGCCUGCUCCCACCAUGCCUUCUGCCACGAGUAAAAGUUCCCUGAGGCCUCCCCAGAAGCAGAUGCUGUCGUGCUUCCUGUAUAGCUGCAGAACUACUUAUAGAUGGGGUCACACACCAUUCUACAAAGAGGGGAGUCUCUCCGUGAAAUGACUUGAACUUAUAAAGCGCAUUCUGCUAUGUGGUUGCCUCACCAACUCCCUUCCUGCCUGGACUAUUACAGUAACCUGUGGAUUGGUCUCCUUGCCUUGAGACGAUGACAUUUCUGGCACCUAAACCCAUCAGCAUCAAGUUGUUCUUUUGAAAACAUAAAUAUGACCAUGUUACAUGUUUUUAAACCUUUCAAUGGAAUACUUUCACCUACAGGAUAAUGUUUAGAUUUUUUAACAUGGCAUGCAUGACGCUUCACUCUCUGGCUUCCACACAUUCUCCAGAAUUACUUCCUGUCACUCUCCUAUGUCUAUUCUUGUCUCCAACAAUUCCCAACCUCUUGUGCUGUGGUCCAUGGCUCUCCAUGCCUCAUGCCUGUGCUGUCCUGGAGCACUUCCUUCAACUGAUACACAAAAAAAGUCUUGCUUAUUCUUCCCUGAUCUACCUGGGUUUCACCUUCACCUGUAUGCAGAGUUAAUGCCUUCCCGCUGUCUGUUCCCAUAUCAGGCUGUGUACUAUUGAAAUAUUCAUCACUCCCUUCAGGCUGUGGCUUAAUGUGCCCAUCUCCUUAUCAGCCUUGGCAAUUUAAGGACAGAGGUUUUGUUUUGUUUUUUGUUUUUUAAUCUCUCUCAUUUUUGUGUGUUCUCAGGAGCAGGAGAGAAGGGAUGUUAAUAUGUUGAAUUAAUGUUAAUCAUUAAAACCAUCACAACCCCAAAUUUCUUUAAUCCCUACUUAAUCCAAAUUGAUUGAAUUUGUACAAUUUUCAUGAAUGUUGAAUAAUCUUGAGGUGAAAUAAUCUUAUUUCACAAAAUAAAAAUUUGUUGAAAUAUCAUUCAACAAAGAUAUUAUUCUAAAUAUUCAAAACCGAAAGAAAGCAUAGGUCAUAGAGCUAUUUGGUGGUCAGUUCAGAGGAAACUUUGACAGGAUGAUGCCAACAAUGGGAAAAAAAAAG
rnacentral:lncRNA from 1 species